AGCAGGAUAAUGCAAAUGGUAGCAAAUUUGGCUCAUUACCAAAAAGUUGAGGGUUCGAAUCCCUCUCCUGCAA
rnacentral:tRNA from 7 species